UCUGCUCCAAUGAUUUUUUAAAUUGCUGUGGUAUUUUGACUAUACAAAGGUAUUGAAAUAAGAUUUUAAUUGAAUGCUAAGAGAAUGGAAUUUCAGAAAAAAACUUUUUUCAAGUUAAAAAUUGAAAUUUUUUUAAUUUGUGCAGAAACAAUUAUUAAUAUUAAGGACAAGAAGACCCUAUGAAUUUAUAAAUUUUAUUUAAUAUGUAACUACUAUUGAAAAAAUUUUAGCUGGGGCGGCGGAAAAAUAUUUAAAACUUUUUUAAAAUAAAAUGACCCAUUAUUAAUGAUUAUAUGUUAAAUACUCUAGGGUAACAGCGUAAAAAAAUUUUUAUUUUUAUUUCUCCUCCUUCUAUAUAUUUU
rnacentral:rRNA from 1 species